rnacentral:rRNA from 1 species
UACGUAGGUGGCAAGCGUUGUCCGGAUUUACUGGGCGUAAAGGGUGCGUAGGCGGACCUUUAAGUGAGAUGUGAAAUCCCCGAGCUUAACUUGGGGGCUGCAUUUCAAACUGGAGGUCUAGAGUGCAGGAGAGGAGAGUGGAAUUCCUAGUGUAGCGGUGAAAUGCGUAGAGAUUAGGAAGAACACCAGUGGCGAAGGCGACUCUCUGGACUGUAACUGACGCUGAGGCACGAAAGCGUGGGGAGCAAAC